GCUGACGAGUGGCGGACGGGUGAGUAAUGUCUGGGAAACUGCCUGAUGGAGGGGGAUAACUACUGGAAACGGUAGCUAAUACCGCAUAACGUCGCAAGACCAAAGAGGGGGACCUUCGGGCCUCUUGCCAUCGGAUGUGCCCAGAUGGGAUUAGCUAGUAGGUGGGGUAACGGCUCACCUAGGCGACGAUCCCUAGCUGGUCUGAGAGGAUGACCAGCCACACUGGAACUGAGACACGGUCCAGACUCCUACGGGAGGCAGCAGUGGGGAAUAUUGCACAAUGGGCGCAAGCCUGAUGCAGCCAUGCCGCGUGUAUGAAGAAGGCCUUCGGGUUGUAAAGUACUUUCAGCGGGGAGGAAGGGAGUAAAGUUAAUACCUUUGCUCAUUGACGUUACCCGCAGAAGAAGCACCGGCUAACUCCGUGCCAGCAGCCGCGGUAAUACGGAGGGUGCAAGCGUUAAUCGGAAUUACUGGGCGUAAAGCGCACGCAGGCGGUUUGU
rnacentral:rRNA from 1 species